rnacentral:misc_RNA from 1 species
AUGAAGAACGUAGCAAAAUGCGAUACUUGGUGUGAAUUGCAGAAUCCCGUGAACCAUCGAGUUUUUGAACGCAAGUUGCGCCCGAAGCCUUUUGGCCGAGGGCACGUCUGCCUGGGCGUCACGCAUCGCGUCGCCCCCCACAACUCUCCGUAAAGGGAACUUGUGUUUUGGGGGCGGAUAUUGGUCUCCCGUGCUCAUGGCGUGGUUGGCCGAAAUAGGAGUCCCUCCGGUGGACGCACGAACUAGUGGUGGUCGUAAAAACCCUCGUCUUUUGUUUCGUGCCGUUAGUCGCGAGGGAAACUCUUUAAAAACCCAAAUGUGUCGUCUCUUGACGGCGCUUCGACCGCGACCCCAGGUCAGGCGGGACUACCCGCUGAGUUUAAGCAUAUCAAUAAGCGGAGGA